UACGUAGGGGGCUAGCGUUGUCCGGAUUUAUUGGGCGUAAAGCGCGUGUAGGCGGUUCGGUAAGUCCGCUGUGAAAGUCGGGGGCUCAACCCUCGAAUGCCGGUGGAUACUGUCGGACUAGAGUACGGAAGAGGCGAGUGGAAUUCCUGGUGUAGCGGUGAAAUGCGCAGAUAUCAGGAGGAACACCAAUUGCGAAGGCAGCUCGCUGGGACGUUACUGACGCUGAGACGCGAAAGCGUGGGGAGCAAACAGG
rnacentral:rRNA from 1 species